GAUGAACGCUGGCGGCAUGCCUAACACAUGCAAGUCGAUCGGUAAGGCUCUUCGGAGUACACGAGAGGCGGACGGCUGAGUAACGCGUAGGAACACACCCUGCAGUGAGGGAUAAGACACCGAAAGGUGUUCUAAUACCGCAUACGGUCUUCGGAUUAAAGCAUUUAUGCGCUGAAGGAGUGGCCUGCGUCAUAUUAGAUAGUUGGUGAGGUAAUGGCUCACCAAGUCGAUGAUGUGUAGCUGGUCUGAGAGGAUGAUCAGCCAGACUGGAACUGAGACACGGUCCAGACUCCGACGGGAGGCAGCAGUGAGGAAUAUUUCACAAUGAGCGAAAGCGUGAUGGAGCAAUGCCGCGUGCAGGAUGAAGGCCCUAGGGUUGUAAACUGCUUUUAUAAGAGAAGAUUAUGACGGUAACUUAUGAAUAAGGGACGGCUAACUACGUG
rnacentral:rRNA from 1 species